UUUCUGCCCUAUCAACUUUCGAUGGUAGGAUAGUGGCCUACCAUGGUUUCAACGGGUAACGGGGAAUUAGGGUUCGAUUCCGGAGAGGGAGCCUGAGAAACGGCUACCACAUCCAAGGAAGGCAGCAGGCGCGCAAAUUACCCAAUCCCGACCCGGGGAGGUAGGGACAAUAAAUACUGAUACGGGGCUCUUUUGGGUCUCGUAAUUGGAAUGAGUACAAUCUAAAUCCCUAA
rnacentral:rRNA from 1 species